rnacentral:rRNA from 1 species
CUGGCGGCGUGCCUAACACAUGCAAGUCGAACGGGGAUUUGUUUCGGCAGAAUCCUAGUGGCGAACGGGUGAGUAACGCGUAGGCAACCUGCCCUCCGGCCGGGGACAACACUCCGAAAGGGGUGCUAAUACCGGAUACGAAGUCUGUGCCGCAUGGUACGGAUUUGAAAGAUGGCCUCUAUUUAUAAGCUAUCGCCGGGGGAUGGGCCUGCGUCCGACUAGCUGGUUGGUGGGGUAACGGCCUACCAAGGCGACGAUCGGUAGCCGGUCUGAGAGGAUGAACGGCCACAUUGGGACUGAGACACGGCCCAGACUCCUACGGGAGGCAGCAGUGGGGAAUCUUCCGCAAUGGGCGCAAGCCUGACGGAGCAACGCCGCGUGAGUGAGGAAGUUCUUCGGAACGUAAAGCUCUGUUGUUCCUGACGAACCUCCCUUCUAUCAACAACGGAAGGGACUGACGGUAGGGAACGAGGAAGCCACGGCUAACUACGUGCCAGCAGCCGC